rnacentral:lncRNA from 1 species
AACAUUGAGCUGAAGGUUGAGGUGGAAAGCUUGAAACAAGAACUCCAGGAAAGACAGGAACAGCUUGAUAAUGCACUAACCACAGCAGAAGGUCUGACCAAUCACCCUUUCCUUAACAACAAUGAAAGUUCAGCCAAUGAGGAGGAAUCAUAGCUGUACAGGGAAACCCAUUUUUAAAUUAAUCUAGUAGCAGAGAUUCCACAAGCAUGAAUUCACUUAACAUUUGUGCUAUUUUAAGUGCUGCAUUUCACUGUUAACUCCUGCGUCCACUAAGCAAUCUCAGUGCAGUUUAACAGUUCCACUUAAUGUAAAUCAAGUAACUGACAUUUAUUUAUUUUAGUGCAAACACACUUCCUUUCUAUGUUACUAAGACUUAUUAUAGAUUCAGUGCUGAUUGCCUUCCACAGUUUUGUUUAAAAAAAAUUUGAUAGUGUACAUUUCAAUUGAUAAUGGAAGACGUAUUUCAUUGAUUUAGCCUUUUAGUUAACUUUGAGACAAAUCCACAAUGGCACAGGCAGCUUCAGACUAAAAGCGUUGGUUCCCAUUUGUAUCGAAAAAAUAGGCAGAAAGUCUGACCAAUCAGAAUGAGGUGGAGGUGCAGCGUCGCUGUGAGGAACGGAGCAGGAGAACGGACACAUAGCAAGAGAUUCUGGAGACCAAGAUCCAGCUUCUGCAGGAGGUGCACAUUUUGUUCCAAUGCACAAUAAACUGACCUCAUUACAGUCUACAUUUACAGCACUCAAUUUUGCUGUUCUUGUUUACGUACUCUUGUGUGUGUCUUCGUAAAAGCAUCCAAGACCGACAGAACUGUCCACUUUUUUCAGGAGGCUCAACUGGCAAGAAGUGAAGCAGAAAAAAUGGCUUCUUUGGCAGAUUCAGAGUCCCAGCGCUGUUUGGCCCUUGAAAGGAGGAUGAUGAUGGAAAUGCAGGGGGGAAAUGAAAGCUUAUCUGUCAUGGCACAACAUGAAGAGAUGGCUAAGAAAGACAGGUUGAUAGAGGAACUGAAUGAAACUCUAUGCAGGAGAGAGCAAGAAGCAGCUGAUCUGAGUGCACAGAGGGAUGCCGUUACUGUAAAACUAAAUCAGCUGGAAGAGCAAGUGCAGAACCUCAACAUUUCCCUCCAGCAGAAAGAGAAAGAUGAACAGACCCUCAGAGAAGAACUGGCUCAAGGAAAAAGCAAUACAGAGCAGGAGAUGCAAGUAAGACUUAUUUUUUCUAUUUAUAUGUUCUCUCAAGUUAUUUUUUUUAAGUAUAUGCAUGUAAUCUACACGGAAUUACUAUUAUUGUUUAGGAUAUGUUCUUAAUAUAAUAUAUUUAUAUUUUUGGGGAAAUGGCUAUAAUUUAGCUUAAGAAGCAUCACCAGUGUGCUGAGAGCGACAUCUAGCGACAGUGUACAGUCAUAGCAAGCUGAGAGUGUACUGUACAUCAGCAAACACCCUGACAAUUAUUUUAAAAAUUAAAUAGUAUCUUCGUUGUAUUUUAAAGAACCUGUCAUUCAUCAUCCGACACUUAAUAUAAGCGUUCUUUCUAUUUUUAAUAUUUUCAUGUAUUAUACUUUCUGUGGUGCUCUUUUCAAAAAAAUAAAAAUUGUCAUGCCAUUGAAAAAUGGGAGUAAAGAGAUAUGUAGUAUUCACUUUCUUGUUUGAAUUGGGUUUAGGCUUAUAAAUAAACAAUCUAUUACAUCACACUGUACACAGAAAAGCAAUGAAAUCUCACAUUAAUUUUACUUUCUCUCAACCCCUUUCUAUCACUAUCACUGGUUGACAUAAACAAUGAGAUAAUGCUACAUUUGCCUGAUUAGGAGACAUUUGAAUGUAAAAUCCACAUAGAGACACAGAUAACUGUUAAGAGAUUGAUCCAUCUAUCCGCACAAGUAUUACUGUGUGGAUGUUGAUGGCAAAUCUGAUUGUUUAAAUCUUUGUAAAAAUUAACAAUUGACAUUUUAGUCAAUUUACAAGCAGGACCCAUUACAAUUGCACAUUUAUUAUAAUGUAUAUAAAGAAACAACCAUUCACACAAAUUCAGGAAUGUAACCACGAAUAUUUAGAUCCUGACCUGGAAUGCUUUUUACAUCUGGGCUCCCCCAGUCUUGAAUAUGGGUACAUCCCUAAAUAAAUUAUUAUUAUAGAUAGAUAGAUAGAUAGACUAUACCUAUACACCAAAACACACACAUCCACAUAUUUAUAAGCAUAUCUUCACAUUUUCUUCGAACCACACGUGCAGUUACUCUUUCGUAUAUUUAUGGGAACCUAUUCCAAGCAACAGAGCCAUGAUAAAACAGCCUUUUUCAUCAAAUUUGUUUGUGGACGUUGACCAUAUCAUUGGUCAGUACUCAAGAUGCUUUAAAAUUAAUGACUGCACCACAUCUUUUAAACAGCUAUAGGCCUACGUCUUUUCCAAUAAUGCAACAAUAGAUAGAUAGAUAGAUAGAUAGAUAGAUAGAUAGAUAGAUAGAUAGAUAGAUAGAUAGAUAGAUAGAUAGAUAGAUAGAUAGAUAUUAUGAAACCAGUACGUCGGAAAAACAAAAUCACUUUCUCAGUUGCAUUUUUUUUUGUCGAAAAUGAAAAUGAGUAUGUAAAGUAGUGUCAUCAUUUGCUUGGCUUGUUCUCUAAGUGCGACCGGUACCACUGCAUACACCGAGGGGUGCUCGAAGAAUUUACAAAAACACUGUUGACAAACAAUGGACGAUAAAACGUCAGUUUAUUAAGUGGUUUAAUUAUAAGUGCUUGUUAAGAAGAUAGCAACCGUUAAUACUUUUUAAAUAAGUAAGAUAAAUUGUAGAAACGCAUGCUUUCGACCCCCUUUUUGUUCAGGAAAUGGUACGCGCCAUUUUCCCCUGUCUCACUGUUGCCACAUCGUUUGCUGCUCCGCUGUCUGUAUGUCGGAAGCCGUAUUAUACACAAAAUACCGGCAACCUUUAGUGUUACCGUUCUGGGACAGAUUAUGAUAUUAUUUCCGUCUACAUUUCGGCUAAUGGUGGUUAUUUAAAAUUGACACGUUUUUAAACCGGAGUCGGGCGAUGGGGGAUGAUGUCCUGUGACUGUCAUGUCGGCGUCUUCACAGAAGAGCGAAUGAAACAUAAUCUGGAGCGCGAGAGUGAAAGACAAACCAUGCAUCUUUAUUUCUGUUGACGAGGACGAGCAUCUCGACAUCGAAAUCAAACCCGAGAUUUAUUUUUUAGCGAUAUAUCUAUUUAAAGAACGAUCUGAAGGGCACAAAUAAGGAAAUAAAAUAGUACUUUAAGACUUAGUGCAUUGACAGGAAUUCAUCUCAUCUAUGAUAAAAAGUGACAUGAAGUUGUUAUAAUAUCUAAUUAUAUUUUUAAAUAUAGAUACUGGAGAAGAAUAGAAAUUUAGGAACUUUUUAUGCAAUGAAAUUUUCACUUUGGCUCUUGCCACAAACUAUAGAUUAUAUAGAU